GGUUAAGUGACUAAGCGUACACGGUGGAUGCCUUGGCAGUCAGAGGCGAUGAAAGACGUAGUAACUUGCGAUAAGCCCAGAUUAGGUAGUAACAACCAUUUGAGUCUGGGAUUUCUGAAUGGGGAAACCCACUUACAUAAGUAAGUAUCAUUAACUGAAUACAUAGGUUAAUGAGGCGAACCGGGGGAACUGAAACAUCUAAGUACCCCGAGGAAAAGAAAUCAACCGAGAUUCCGAAAGUAGCGGCGAGCGAAAUUGGACUAGCCCUUAAGCUUUACACGCGUUAGACGAACGGUCUGGAAAGUCCGACGAUACAGGGUGAUAGUCCCGUAGUUGACGACGUGUGUUCAGUGAAAUCGAGUAGGGCGGGACACGUGAUAUCCUGUCUGAAUAUGGGGGGACCAUCCUCCAAGGCUAAAUACUACUGACUGACCGAUAGUGAACCAGUACCGUGAGGGAAAGGCGAAAAGAACCCCUGUGAGGGGAGUGAAAUAGAACCUGAAACCGUGUACGUACAAGCAGUAGGAGCAGGCUUUGUCCUGUGACUGCGUACCUUUUGUAUAAUGGGUCAGCGACUUAUAUUCAGUGGCAAGGUUAACCAUCUAGGGGAGCCGUAGGGAAACCGAGUCUUAACUGGGCGUUCAGUCUCUGGAUAUAGACCCGAAACCAGGUGAUCUAGCCAUGGGCAGGUUGAAGGUUGAGUAACAUCAACUGGAGGACCGAACCGACUAAUGUUGAAAAAUUAGCGGAUGACUUGUGGCUAGGGGUGAAAGGCCAAUCAAACCUGGAGAUAGCUGGUUCUCCCCGAAAGCUAUUUAGGUAGCGCCUCGGACGAAUACUACUGGGGGUAGAGCACUGUUAAGGCUAGGGGGUCAUCCCGACUUACCAACCCUUUGCAAACUCCGAAUACCAGUAAGUACUAUCCGGGAGACACACGGCGGGUGCUAACGUCCGUCGUGGAGAGGGAAACAACCCAGACCGCCAGCUAAGGUCCCAAAUUACUACUAAGUGGGAAACGAUGUGGGAAGGCUCAGACAGCCAGGAUGUUGGCUUAGAAGCAGCCAUCAUUUAAAGAAAGCGUAAUAGCUCACUGGUCGAGUCGGCCUGCGCGGAAGAUGUAACGGGGCUAAGUAGUAAACCGAAGCUGCGGCAAUAUACUUUUGUAUAUUGGGUAGGGGAGCGUUCUGUAAGCGGUUGAAGGUGUGUGGUAACGCAUGCUGGACGUAUCAGAAGUGCGAAUGCUGACAUGAGUAACGAUAAAGGGGGUGAAAAACCUCCUCGCCGGAAGACCAAGGGUUCCUGUCCAACGUUAAUCGGGGCAGGGUAAGUCGACCCCUAAGGCGAGGCCGAAAGGCGUAGUCGAUGGGAAACGGGUUAAUAUUCCCGUACUUCUUACAAUUGCGAUGGGGGGACGGAGAAGGCUAGGUGGGCCUGGCGACGGUUGUCCAGGUUCAAGUGCGUAGGCUUAAGAGUUAGGUAAAUCCGGCUCUUUUUAAGGCUGAGACACGACGUCGAGCUGCUACGGCAGUGAAGUCAUUGAUGCCAUGCUUCCAGGAAAAGCCUCUAAGCUUCAGAUUGUAAGGAAUCGUACCCCAAACCGACACAGGUGGUCGGGUAGAGAAUACCAAGGCGCUUGAGAGAACUCGGGUGAAGGAACUAGGCAAAAUGGUACCGUAA
rnacentral:rRNA from 1 species